rnacentral:rRNA from 1 species
UGGGGAAUAUUGGACAAUGGGCGAAAGCCUGAUCCAGCCAUGCCGCGUGUGUGAUGAAGGCCUUAGGGUUGUAAAGCACUUUUGUCAGGGAAGAUAAUGACGGUACCUGAAGAAUAAGCACCGGCUAACUUCGUGCCAGCAGCCGCGGUAAUACGAAGGGUGCUAGCGUUGUUCGGAAUCACUGGGCGUAAAGCGCGCGUAGGCGGCUUAGCAAGUCAGGGGUGAAAUCCCGGAGCUCAACUCCGGAACUGCCUUUGAAACUGCUAAGCUUGAGUGUCGGAGGGGAUAGCGGAAUUCCUAAUGUAGAGGUGAAAUUCGUAGAUAUUAGGAGGAACACCGGUGGCGAAGGCGGCUAUCUGGACGACAACUGACGCUGAGGCGCGAAAGCGUGGGGAUCAAACAG